GGAGGGUGCGAGCGUUAAUCGGAAUUACUGGGCGUAAAGCGCGCGUAGGCGGUCUGAUCAGUCGGAUGUGAAAGCCCUGGGCUUAACCUGGGAAUUGCAUUCGAUACUGUCAGGCUAGAGUAUGGGAGAGGGAAGUGGAAUUUCCGGUGUAGCGGUGAAAUGCGUAGAUAUCGGAAGGAACACCAGUGGCGAAGGCGACUUCUUGGCCCAAUACUGACGCUGAGGUGCGAAAGCGUGGGUAGCGAACAGGAUUAGAUACCCUGGUAGUCCACGCCGUAAACGAUGAGAACUAGAUGUCGGGAGGAUUUACCUCUCGGUGUCGCAGCUAACGCGUUAAGUUCUCCGCCUGGGGAGUACGCCGGCAACGGUA
rnacentral:rRNA from 1 species